AUUACACUACGAGUUCUACAAGGAACAAGGAACCUCUUUUAACUUAUCUUUGAAUUCCCAACACUUGGCAUAGUGUGAGCAUAGAUAUGACAUACAGAAAAUAUUUGCUGGAUGGACAAAUGAGUGAAUCUACAGUUCCCACUCGUACUAUUUCUCUGGGGCAAUCUAGUUAUUCAUGGACAGUGAGAUGUGGAGGAAGGACUGUUUUUUCUGUUAUUUUUUCAGAAGCCAUCAUACAGUGAUGCUUACAGUGUCAAACCUUUACAAUAAGGUAGAGCUGUACCUGAAAAGGAAACCCUGUUGGUGUAAUGGUAAAGGGCUACAGCUGCCAACUAGAAGUUCGGCAGUUCAAAUCUACCAGGUGCUCCUUGGAAACUCUAUGGGGGCAGUUCUACUUUGUCCUGUUGGGUUGCUAUGAGUUGGAAUUGACUUGAUGGCAAUGGGUUUUGUUUUUUUGUUUUGGUAACCGAAAGGGAUUUUCAUAGGUGAAAUCCUCCCUAUUCUUUUACUUCGUCCACACUGCAAGGUUUAGAGUACUAAUGAGAAAUUUCAACAUCAAAUAUUUGUAUCUUAACUUUUAUUUCAUCUUCUUUUCUGUUCUUUAUCAUUUAUCAAACCUUUUCGGUUUUUGCACGCCACCAGUGCUGCUCUUUAUUUGAUGUGGACCUCAUACAUGUUAUUGACUUCCUAAUAUUUCUCUCUAACCCCAAUAUGAUUCAUACUUGUCUCAAAAUUAUAGAUAAUUGAUUUUAUGACAUAAAGAAAGAGAGCGAUUGAGUAAUAUGAAUAUGCCUGAAAAUAAAAAAUGCCAGAGAGAGGGACAAUAUUCCAGUUAGUGGGAAACAUAAAGGAAAUCAGACAUUGGAGGCUGACUACAGUUUACAUUUGUUUGCUAGAUCUUCUCCUAUAAUACAAAGACAAAUAAAUUAUUUUCCCAUGUGGCUUGGAGAAUGUUACUACUAACAGUGUUCCAGGGGAGAAGACUGUAUCCCUCCCUCUGGCACCAAACCCUCUAUUAGUGGAAAUGAAGCAGCCAUAGUCUCCCCUUUUCCCUGAGAUUCCAAUGGCAGGAAAAACACUGUAGGACCUUGCAGGAGCUCACUGAGUUUCAACCUUUGCUACUAACUUUGCCUCUUAUAUUUUACUUUCCCUGCGUCUUUACUCCUCUCUAAUGAUAUUUGAAUAAUUUGGAAAUCCUGGGGGGAAAUACCGCUAUUGCUCAUUUUAUAAAUAAACUUCUUCCUCUACUAUCUAGCCUUCUAAUAAUACAUUGGGAUGCUGCGUUUAGAGGUAGCUUGCACAGUUUACUUGUCAUGAUUGCUUUUCACAAUUACCUUCUUGAUUUUUGCCUCUUUAUUUCUCUGAUUAUCUUACUUUUCCUACUUCCAAUCAUUUCACUAAAGAUUUCUUGGUAUGGACUUUUUCCUGGGUGAAUCUUCACUUUUGAUAUUGGAAAGUCAGUGGUUUAAAGUCUCUCUCAGCGUAUUCAGUAGAGUUAAAUAUCAAGGACAUUACCCAUAAUUUAGUAAAGCGUUAGCUUUUACACUACUGAAAGUGAAAACUGUUGAUUUAAUAAAAGUCCUAUAUAUUCUGUGUUAGUCCAAUGCAUAUGAAAAUUACAAAAAGAUAAUAAACUUAAAGGUGGAGCUAAUUUUGCUGAAAUGCAGACACGAAUGAUUUUUAUCAGUCGGUCAUGUGUACAACACAUUUGCCCAUUGUUAAUUGUUCCCUACUCAGCUGCUACCAGAAGGUUGGAGGUUUGAGUCUACUCAGAGUCAUCUCAGAAGAAGGUCCUGGUGACCCACUUCUGAAAGGUCACAGAGCACAAUUCUACUCUGACACACAUGCAGUUGGUAUGAGUCAGAAUUGACUCCAUGACAACUGGAACUGGAAAUUGCUCCCUAAGGGUCUUUUUAAAUGACACUCAAUAAGCUCCAAAACUUUUGCACCUACUACUUGGAUGUUUUAACCCCCCAAAAGGGAGUGUUUUAUGAAGAAGAUAUUCAAUUCUGGAAUUUGAAAAAAUCUUAGGGGAGGUCAUGGUCUAGUCAUUAACAGCUGUUGUAUCUCCUCUGGAGUGUCUCCGCGGAGUGAGAAGCUAAUGCUUGGUGCCUCUUUCGCAAAGGAAAACUCCUUUCAUUCCAUAGUCUUCCAUUUCUUCCUGGGCUCAGUCUGGUUGUCAUAAAGCUCACAGAUACACACUGGAGUUUCUUCCUAACCUCACUAGCACUUUGAGAUCUUUCUUAAAUUUGGCAAAAUAUUGUUUAUUUAAACCUGAUAGCUUUACUUUUCCACGCUCUUCAGUCUUGUUUCCUACGCUCCCAUUUUGCUUCUCUGUCUUCUUCUCUUCUCCUAACUCCCCGGUAAUUCAAUAAUAAAGUGUGAGCAAUCUCAGGAGUUUUUUCUCUGGCUUGUUCUUCUUCUUAUAUUUUUUAAUUAGUGGCCUUUUCCCUAUUCUAAAGUUUAUUCGUUGAUUUUUAUUGUUUGGAAUGAAAGGUAACUGAAAAGAAAAUCAGUUUCUGCACAUACAGAAUUAAAAAGAAAUCACAUCAGAAGAAUCACUUCCACACUCAUCAGGAGCUAACUGACCUAAAGAAGUGAGAAACAUACGAAAUAGACAAUGGAUUGUGUUGGCCUCUAUCAAUACAAACAUUUAGGAGUUCAAACAUGCCAGCUGGGAAUUGGUGCUGCUGUUAUAUGAACUAGGAAGACCAUCACUGAAGGCCAUCUGAACCUCAUGUCCCUCGAAUUGUAUGUUGGUGGUUUGGCUCUGCUGACCCAGUCAUUAAUCUAAGCUUCUUUGUUUAAACUUAACUUCCUAGGCUGCUUUUCAUCUGCUAUUUUAUUCUUAUUUCCUUUAUUUUCUUUUUCAUCUUUUCAACUUUUCUCUGAGACAGAAAAAUGUAUUAAUUUGGUCAUACUUCCAGAGCUUAUAAAUGGCAGAUCUGGAACUGGGAUAAAAGUUUUUGUUUGGCAAUAUGGUUUUUGUAUCAGUCUGCCUUUUCCGUAGGCAUAGAGGGAAAGGUGACACAUUUAUUUAAGAAAUGUUUCUUAAUACAUAACAUGCUGGGGAUAGAAGGUUGAGAAGAACACUGCGCCUGACCUUGAAUGAUUUAACAGUGUAGGAAAGCAAUUGAUUAGAUAAAUCAUAAUUGUAUGGAUGGGAGAUUAAUAGAGGUAUUUUGAAGGUGCAUAUUUCUUAGUACCAACUUCUCUUAUGUCUCUUUACGGGAUACUAUGAUAUUGUGGAAAGAGUCUGUGUUUUGGGAUUAAAGACCUAGAUGGAAAAGGUAAAAUUAUAAACCUAAUGGAGGAAAAAGAGACACAAACUAGGAUGUUCAUCCAAGUGUCAUUUGUGGCUCUAGUGAGAUGGAGGCAGCUAGGGAUCCGUCAUAAGAACAAUGGAUGAGGACAGUACAUACAAUGGAAUACCUGGCAUCUCUUAGAAGCAACAUGCUAGAUGUAUACAGAGGAAAAUGAAGAAAAGUAGGUAUUUCUUAAAAAUGUUGCUAGAUGAAAAAGUAAGAAAUAGAACGUGAUCUAAAGUACAAAAUAGUUGUGUAAAUUAAAAACAUAUACACACAAAACAAGACUAGGAAUUUUAAAAGAAUAGAUGCAUACCCAAUUUUAGAGUGUGUGCCCAUGGUGGUGAGGGAAAUGGGGCCAGGGGAAAGAGUGAAGGGGAAAAAGAACAUUAACAAAAGGUCUGAGAGCGUGCAUGUGGGAUUGAUUUUGUCCUGAGUUUCAAGCCUGGAUUUGCUUGCAGUUCAUAAAUUAUUUUGCUCAACUAUGUCUCAGUUUCUUCAUAAUUAAAUUCUUUUAAGCAAUACCUGGUUCAUGGAAUUAUUGUGAGAUUUAAUGAGAACAGAUGUGAAGUGUCGGGCUCUUAGAGAUACUCUUCCUCUUCAUCUCUUUUCUGACCUAUAUCACUUCUGUUCAACUUGUACUUUUUUAAAACACUGCUACAUGGAUUUUCACUUAACUUUAUUUCUUUUAUCAUUCCUUUCCUAUAUUCAUCUUCAGACUAUAACCACAAAAUGUACUGUUCUUGCCCAAUAGGCUGCUAUAGCCAAUCCCAGCAGACUGUUGAAAUAAACUCAUUAUUCCUCCCCUGCCUCUCAACUCUAGUUGGACUUUUCACUUUCUAAAAAUUCAGGUUGAAUUACAAGAGUCUCAAAGUGAUAUAUUAUAAUCAGAAAUAAAAAGAACAAGCACAGGAAAGUUUUCUGGCCACAUCUAAGGAUACUAGAAUUAAGAUUAAAAAAUACUUACCCGGACAGGGAGAAGUCAUGCCUAAAAACACAAUGAAACAAUUUAGAUAAUAAUAAUCUAGAUUAACAACCCAGUUCCUAUUCAUUUUUUUUCUAGAGUAACAUCAUAAAUGAUUUCUUAAGGUAAAGCCAAAACUUUUAAGUCAUGUAUUUUUGGGAAAAUGUUGCUUUGGGGUUUCAUCAUUCUCUGCUUUAAUGAAAACAGUUCUACCUCUUAGGUUUCUGUGAACACUCAAAAAUUUUUUCACUGCAUAUGUCAACUAAACACCUCAUGGGGUUUUCUUUCUUGGUUCAGAGGCUUAGGGUCAUGGUUUUGUGGGACGUUCCAGUCAGUUGGCCUGUCAUGGAUUGAAUUGUGUCGCCUCGAUGCAUCUGUCCACUUGGCUAGGUCAUGAUUCCCAGUAUUGUAUGAUCGUCUACCAUUUUAUCAUCUGAUGUGAUUUCCCUAUGUAUUGUAAAUCCUAUCACUGUGAUGUAAUAAAAUGGAUUAGCAGCAGUUAUACUGAUGAGAUCUACAAGAUUAGAUAGUGUCUUAAGCCAACCUCUUUUGAGAUUUAAAAAAGAGAAGCAAGCAGAGAGACAUGAGGAUCUCAUACCACCAAGAAAUCAGUGCCAGGAGCAGAGUGUGUCCUUUGGACCUGAGAUUCCUGCGCUGAGAUGCUCCCAGACCAAGGGAAGACUGAAGAUAAGGACAUUGUUCCACAGCCGACAGAGAGAGAAAGCCUUCCCAUGGAACAAGCACCCUGAAUUCAGACUUCUAGCCUACUGGACUGUGAGAGAAUAAAGUUCCCUUUGUUAAAGCCAUGCACUUAUGCUAUUUCUGUUAUAGCAGCACUAGAUGACCAAGACAUGGCCUAAUACUGAUUUUAGUGUUUCUGAAUAUUGCUUUUAUUGCUUCUGUUCUACCUCCUUGCUUUUUGUGUAGUGCCUGGGGUCUUAAAAGCUUUGAGUGGCCAUCCAAGUUACAACAACUGGUUUCUAUUUGCCUGGAGGAGCAGAGAAUGAAGUAGGAUUAAGAAUCGGAGGGAGAAACUAGAAUGCUUGUCGAAUUGCCUUCGUGAGCAACUGCCUCCUUUGCCAGGAGACCAGAAGAACUGAAUGGUACCUGGCUACCACUACUGUAUUUUUUUUUUCUUUAUUUUAUUGUAUUUAUGGUGAAAGUUUACACAGCAAAUUAGGUUCCCAUUUAAAAAUUUCUGUACGUACUAUUCAGUGACAUUGUUUACAUUUUCCACAAUGUGUCAGUAUUCUCAUUAUUUCCAUCCUGGUUGUUCUGUUUCCACUAAUGUAACUUCCUUGUCCUCCCCGCCCCCCUUUACUGUCUCAUCUUUGCUUUAGGGUAAAUAUCAGCUUUUUGGUUUCAUAUAGGUGAUUAUUUAAAGGAGCACAGUACUCAUGGGCGAUAUUAUUUUAUGAGCCAAUCUAUUAUUUGGCUGAAAGGUGACAUCCAGGAGUGACUUCACUUCCAAGUUUAAAGGGUAUCUCAGGGCAAUAGUCUUAGGGAAUCCUCUAGUCUCUACCAGUUUAGUAAGUCUGGCCUUUUUUUUUUGGAAUUUAAGAUUUGUCCUACAUUUUUCUCCCAUUCUACCCGGGACCAUCUAUUGGGUCUGUGAUCAGAACAGUCAUUAGUAGUAGCCAGUCACCAUCUAGUUCUAGUCUCAGGAUAGAUGAGGCCAUAGGUCAUGUGGACUAUUAGUCUUGUAGACUAUUUUCUUAGAGUCUUUGGUUUCCUUCUAUCUCUUUUGUUCCAGAUGAGUACAGACAAUAGUUGUAUCUUAGAUGGCUGCUCACAAGCUUUUAAGACCCCAGAAGCUACUCACCAAACUAGGAUGUAGAACAAUGUCUUUAUGAACCAUGUUAUGCCAAUUGACUGAAGUAUCCCGCAAGACUAUGGUCCUAAGCCUUCAAACCCAGUAAACCAAUUCCACAAGGUGUUUGGUUAUGUCUAGGAAGUAUCUAUAACUGUGCCUCUAAGUACUUUAUUAUAUACAUGAAUACACAUGCAGCCCACACAAAUAUGUAUUUACAUUUGUCUACAGAUACACCUAUACAUGCACACUCAAUCUCACACGUGUCUUCCUAUACACAUAUAUGCAUACAUAUCACCUAUGUAGCGACACAUAAUUUUUAGUUGCUAUUACUGUUGUUAGGAAUUGUAUAUGUUAUAGAAUUUUCCAAAAUUGUCCCUUAUUCUUGUGUGCUUCUUAAUGUCACCAUUUACCUUGGUCAAGUUAUGUGGGCUUCACUCAUAUUGAGUAUUGCCUUUCCCAUCACCAAAAAUAGCAAGUGUCUACUAACUAGAAAGUUAUUUCCCCUACAUCCACAUUGCAUCUCUGGCAACCAUCAAAGAACGUUGCGUUCUGUGUGUAUUCCUAUUCUUGUCUUUUUUUCAAAAGUGGGACCAUGCAAUAUUUGCCCUUUUGUGAUUGACUUAGUUCACUCAUCAUAAGGUCCUCUAGAUUCAUCUAUGUUAUAAGAUGUUUCAGGGAUUCAUCAUUAUUCUUUAUAGCUGUAUUGUAUUCCAUUGUAUGUAUGUACCACAAUUUGUUUAUCCAUUCAUCCAUUUAUGGGCACUUAGGUUAUUUCCACUUUUUGCUAUUGUGAAUAAUGCUGAAAUGAACAUGUGUGUGCAUAUGUCUAUUUGUGUCACUGCAAUUAGAUUUCUAAGGUAUAUGCCUAUGAGUGGGAUUGCUGAAUCAUAAGGUAUUUCUACUUCUAGAUUUUGAGGAGCCCCAUACCAUUUUUCAUAGUGAUUGUGCCAUUUUACAAUUCCAUAGGCAGUAGAUCAGGGUUCCAAUCUUCCCACAACCUCACCAGCAUUUGUUGCUUUCUGUUUUUUUGAUCAGGGCCAUUUUUGCAGGGGUGAGAUGGAUUGCAAUUUUUGAUUUUCAUGUCUCUAAUAGCUAUGGUUGCAAGCAUCUUUUCAUGUGUUUGUUAAUUACCUGAAUGUCCUCUUUGGUGAAGUGUAUGUUCAUGUCCUUUGCUCAUUUUUGAUUGGAUUAUUUAUCUUUUGUUGUUGAGUUGUUGAAGUUUUCUAUAUAUUUUGGAGAUUAGAUGCUUAUCAGAUAUGUUGUUUCCAAAGAUUUUUUUCCAGUCCGUAUGUUCUCUUUUACUCUUUUGAUAAAGUCUUUUGAUGAGCAUAAGUAUUUAAUUUUUAGGAGGUCCAGUUAUUUUUCUUAUUUUGUUCAUGCACUUGUAGUUGUAUAUUAUAGUAUAUUUCUGCAAAAAAUUAGGUCCCAUAGUUCUGUCCCUCUAUUAUCUUCCAGGAACUUUAUAGUAUUAGCUAUAAUAUUUAGGUUUUUGAUCCAUUUUGAGUUAGUUUUUGUGUAUAGUGUGAAGUGUGGGUCCUAUUUCAUUUUUCUCCAAAAGGAUACCCAGUUUUGCUAUCACCAUUUGUUAAAGAGACUUUCUUUCCCAUUGAAUGGAUUUGUCCCCUUGUAAAUCAGCUGCCCACAGAUGGAUGGAUUUACUUCUGGGUUCUCAAUUCUAUUUCAUUGGUCUGUGUGUCAUAGUAUCAGUACCAGGCUGUUUUGAUAUCUGUAGCUGUAUAGUAUGUUUUGAGAUCCGGAAGUGUGAGGUCUCCUACUUUGUUCUUUGUCAAUAUUGUUCUGGCUAUUUGGGGCCUCUUUCCUUCCCAUAUAAAGUUGGUGAUUCGUUUUUACAUUUCAGUAAAGAAUGUUGCUGGGAUUUGGAUCAGGAUUGCAUUAUACCUAUAGAUCACUUUGUAUAGUAUUGACAUUUUCACAAUGUUAAAUCUUCCAAUCCAUGAACAUGGACUGUUCUUCCAUUUAUGUAGGGCUCUUUUAUUUUUUUGCAGUAGUGUUUUAUGGUUUUCCUUGUACAGGUCUUUUACAUCUCUGGUUAGGUUUUUUCCUAUGUAUUUUAUUCUUUUGGGGGCUAUUGUAAACAGUAUUUUUUUCUUGAUUUCCUUUUUAGAGUUCUUGUUAGUGUAAAGGAACCCAACUGACUUUGGUGUGUUGAUCUUGUACCCUGCCACUUUGCUGAAUGCUUUCAUUCGAUCUGGUAGGUUUCUUGUGGAAUCUCUGGGGUUUUCUAUGUAUAGGACUAUGCAAAGGUAUUUGACUGUGUGGAUCAUAACAAAUUAUGGAUAACAUUGUGAAGAAUGGGAAUUCCAGAACACUUAAUUGUGCUCAUGCAAAACCUGAGCAAAUAAUCUGAGAAACUGGACUAUAUGAAGAAGAAUGCAGCAUCAGGAUUUAUGGAAAACUCAUUAACAACCUGUGAUAUGCAGAUGACACAAUCUUGCUUGCUGAAAGUGAAGAGGACUUGAAGCACUUCCUUAUGAAGAUCAAGGACUACAGCCUUCGGUAUGGAUUACACGUCAACAUAAAGAAAACAAAAAUCCUCACAACUGAACCAAUAAGCAACAUCAUGAUAAAUGGAGAAAAGAUUGAAGUUGUCAAGGAUUUCAUUUUACUUGAAUCCACAAUUAACGCCCACAGAAGCAGCGGUCAAGAAGUCAAAUGACAUAUUGCAUUGGGCAAAUCUGCCGCAAAAGACCUCUUUAAAGCGUUGAAAGCAAAGCUGUCACCUUGAAUACUAAGGUGUGCCUGACCUAAACCAUGAUAUUUUCAAUCACCUCAUAUGCAUGUGAAAACUGGAAAAUCAAUAAGAAAGACUGAGGAAGAAUUGAUGACUUUGAAUUAUGGUGUUGGGGAAGAAUAUUGAAUGUACCAUGAACUGCCAAAAGAAUGAACAAGUCUUGGAAGAAGUACAGCCAGAGUGCCCCUUGGAAGUGAGGAUGGCAAGACUUCGUGUCACGUGCUUUGGACAUGUUAUCAAGAGGGACCAGUCCCUGGAGAAGGACAUAAUGCGUGGUAAGGAGAGGGUCAGUGAAAAAGAGAAAGGCCCUUGACUAGAUGGAUUGACACAGUGGCUGCAACAAUGGGCUCAAGCAUAGCAACAGUUGUGAGGAUGACAGAAGACUGGGCAGUGUUUUGUUCUGUUGUACAUAGGGUCGCUGACUCAACAGCACCUAACAACAAACAACAACAAAAACAGGAUCAUGUCGUCUGUGAACAGGGAUAAUUUUAACUCUUCCUUUUCAAUCUGGAUACACUGUAAUUUUCUUUUUUGCCUUAGGCUCUGGCUAGGACUUCCAGUAAAAUAUUGAAUAAGAAUGGUGAUAAUGGGCAUCCUUGUCUCAGUCUCAUUCUCGAGGGGAAGGCUGUCAGUCCUCCACCGAGCAUAAUGUUCGCAGUUAGUUGAGCAUAUAUGCCCUUAAUUAUGUUGAGGAAUUUCUCUUCUAUUCCUAUUUUGCUGAGAAUUUUUAUCAAGAAAAGGUGUUGGAUUUUACCAAAUGCCUUUUCUGCAUCGUUUGAGAUGAUCAUCUGAUUCUUUUCCUUUGUUUUAUUUAUGUGGUGAACUACAUUGAUUGAUUUUCUAAUGUGGAAUCACCCUUACAUUUUUGGUCUGAAUCCCACCUGAUCAUGAUGCGUUAUUUUUCAGAUAUGCUGUUGAAUUCUGUUGACUAGAAUUUUGUUGAGAAUUUUUGAGUCUAUAUUCAUGAGGGAUAUUGGUCUGUAAUUUUCCUUCUUGUGAUGUCUUAACCUGGCUUUGGUAUAAGGUAUAUGGUGGCUUCAUAGAAUGAGUUAGGGAGUAUUCCUUUUUUUUCUGUAUUCUGGAAGAGUAUUAGCAGAAUUGGUAUCAACACUUCUCUGAAUGGUCGGUAGAAUUCCUCAGUGAAGGCAUCUGGACCAAGGCUUUCUUUUUGUUGGAAGCUUUUUGAUGACGUCUUCAGUGUCGUCUUUAGUUAUGCAUCUGCUUAGAUUUUCUACCUCUAUUUGUGUGAGUUUAUAUAGGUAGUGUGUUUCUAGAAAUUUGUCCAUUUCUUUUAGGUUUUCAAAUUUGUUGGAGUACAAUUUUUCAUAAUGUUCUGUUAUGAUCCUCUUUAUCUCAGUUGGAUCUGUUGUAAUGUCAUCCAUUUCAUUUCUUAUUUUGGUUAUUUGUGUCUUUUCGUUUUUUUCCUUUGUUAAUCUGGCCAGUGGUUUGUCAAUUUUAUUUAUCCUCUCAAAGAAGCAACUUCUAGUCUUUUUGAUUCUUUCGAUUGUUUUUCUGUUUAUUUCAAUUAUUUCUGCUCUGAUCUUUAUUAUUUCCUUUCAUUUGGUAGCUUUGGUCUUCUUUUACUCUGCUUUUUCUAUUCAAGUUCUUGGCUUAAGUUAUUGUUUUUGGGCCUUUCUUAUUUUUUUAAUUUUUAUUGUGUUUUAAGUGAAAGUUUACAAAUCAAGUCAGUCUCUCAUACAAAAAUUUAUAUACGACUUGCUAUAUACUCCUAGUUGCUCUCCCCUUGAUGAGACAGCACAAUCCUUCCCACCACUCUCUCUUUUUGUGUCCAUUCGGCCAACUUCUUACCCCCUCUGCCCUCUCAUAUCCCCUCCAAACAGGAGAUGCCAACACAGUCUCAUGUGUUUACUUGAUCCAAGAAGCCCAUUCUUCACCAGUAUCAUUUUCCAGUCCAAUCCUUGUCUGAAGAGUUGGCUUUGGGAAUGGUUCCUGUCUUGGGCCAACAGAAGGUCCGCGGACAAUGACCACAAGGGUCCUUCUAGUCUCAGUCAGACCAUUAAGUCUGGUCUUUCUACAAGAAUUUGGGGUCUGGAUCCCACUUCUCUCCUGCUCCCUCAGGGGUUCUCUGUUGUGUUCCCUGUCAGGAGAGUCAUCGGUUGUAGCCAGGCGCCAUCUAGUUCUUCUGGUCUCAGACUGAUGUAGUCUGUGGUUUAUGUGGCCCCUUCUGUCUCUUGGGCUCAUAAUUACCUUGUAUCUUUGGUGUUCUUCAUUCUCCUUUGCUCCAGGUGGGUUGAGACCAAUUGAUGAAUCUUAGAUGGCCGCUUGUUAGCAUUUAAGACCCCAGACACCACUCUCCAAAGUGGGAUGCAGAAUGUUUUCUUAAUAGAUUUUAUUAUGCCAAUUGAC